rnacentral:rRNA from 1 species
AUGAGUAACACACCUGUGCUGGCUUUACCAAACUUUGAGAAAACAUUCACUGUGGAGACAGAUGCUUGUAACACUGGUGUAGGAGCUGUGUUAUCUCAGGAAGGCCAUCCUGUGGCUUAUUAUAGCAAAGCUCUGGGAGUGACCAGCCAAAAGAAAUCCAUUUAUGAGAAGGAAUUUUUGGCAAUUAUGAUGGCUAUUGACAGGUGGAGAUCCUACCUGACCAGAGCACCUUUUGUUAUAAAAACAGAUCAUCAAAGCCUAUGUCAUUUGAGUGAUCAAAAUCUGACAUCUGAUCUGCAGAGGAAAGCAAUGACCAAGUUGGUGGGCUUACAAUUCUCCAUAUAGUACAGAAAAGGGGUGGAAAAUACUGCUGAUGAUGCCUUGUCCAGGGUUGCACAUCUGUUUGCUACUCAGAAUGUGACCAUAAGCAAACCUAUAUGGGUGCAGGAAGUUCUCAAUUCUUAUUCUGUAGAUCAUGUGGCUCUCUCAUGUUGCAAAAGCUUGCAGUGGAUCCUAAUGCUUGCCCUGGAUUCCAGUUACAGGAAGGUUUGA